rnacentral:rRNA from 1 species
GAUGAACGCUGGCGGCGUGCCUAAUACAUGCAAGUCGAACGCACAGCGAAAGGUGCUUGCACCUUUCAAGUGAGUGGCGAACGGGUGAGUAACACGUGGAUAACCUACCUCAAGGUUGGGGAUAACAUUUGGAAACAGAUGCUAAUACCGAAUAAAACUUCGUAUCGCAUGAUACAAGGUUAAAAAGGCGCUACGGCGUCACCUAGAGAUGGAUCCGCGGUGCAUUAGUUAGUUGGUGGGUAAAGGCCUACCAAGACAAUGAUGCAUAGCCGAGUUGAGAGACUGAUCGGCCACAUUGGGACUGAGACACGGCCCAAACUUCCUACGGGAGCUGCAGUAGGGAAUCUUCCACAAUGGGCGAAAGCCUGAUGGAGCAAACGCCGCGUGUGUGAUG